GGCUCGGUAGCUCAGUUGGUUAGAGCACUGCAUUCAUAACGCAGGGGUCGGCAGUUCAAAUCUGCCCCGAGCCACCA
rnacentral:tRNA from 1 species